AACAACAACAACAAAUUUAUUCUUCCACUACACUCAACCCUUUCAUCCCCUUUGCAGAGACAUCAGAUUGAUGUUGAGAAAUUGCACGAGGAGGAUUAAGAAAAGGAAAGAGCUGAUCACUAAUUCUAGCCGGAUCAUUCAGCACAGAUUUUUUCCAGGCUCAUUGCCUGGUCUCAGCCUACAGUUCUCCAGGAUGUCCAGUCAAUGUCCCUACCUACUCAAAAUGUUCCUACAGGCACUAAACAUAAGAUGUCUAGUGGUGGAAAUGGUAUUGGCUGCUGUCAGCUGCAUUGACAAGAUCCAGAGCAAGAAAGGUUAGGCAUUUCACAGGGGCCAACAUCAGUGACAUUUACCACUAUAUCCUCUCAGUCCAGAAAAUUUUAUCAACAGCAUGAAUUGUCUCUAUUGCCUCUGGAGCCUUGUUGCUGUUGGAAACAAAAAUCAAUGUGAUACUGAGUUAUAUUAAAAAGCAUAUCACAUUCAAGGGCACAGAAAUAACCCUUACUUGGCAUUGUGUUAUCAUUUAAGUGUACUGUGUUUAAUUUGCAAUAUCAUCAAGAGAUUGAAGAGACUACAGCAGGCUCAAAGAACUGUGGGAAAGAUAUGAAAGGGAUGGAAAACAAGUCAGUCUGAAGAAGGGAUGGCAAAAGGAUUGUUCAGUUACCAUGUUCAAGUAAAUAAAGAGUUUCCAUGGGGAGGAUGCUAAUCA
rnacentral:lncRNA from 1 species